rnacentral:rRNA from 1 species
AACGAACGCUGGCGGCAGGCCUAACACAUGCAAGUCGAACGCCCUAGCAAUAGGGAGUGGCGCACGGGUGCGUAACACGUGGGAAUGUACCCCAGGGUAAGGAAUAAUGUCUGGAAACGGACACUAAUACCUUAUAAUGACUUUGGUCCAAAGAUUUAUCGCCCUGGGAUCAGCCCGCGUCUGAUUAGCUAGUUGGUGAGGUAAUGGCUCACCAAGGCAACGAUCAGUAGCUGGUCUGAGAGGAUGAUCAGCCACACUGGAACUGAGACACGGUCCAGACUCCUACGGGAGGCAGCAGUGAGGAAUAUUGCACAAUGGAGGAAACUCUGAUGCAGCCAUGCCGCGUGAGUGAAGAAGGCCUUCGGGUUGUAAAGCUCUUUUAGUCGUGAAGAUAAUGACGGUAGCGACAGAAAAAGCCCCGGCUAAAUUCGUGCCAGCCGCCGCCGUAA